rnacentral:piRNA from 1 species
UCACGUGUAUCUUUAUAUAGC